UGCUGCAAAACACGAAUGGUCC
rnacentral:siRNA from 1 species